rnacentral:rRNA from 1 species
GGGUUGUGAGGUUAAGCGACUAAGCGUACACGGUGGAUGCCCUGGCAGUCAGAGGCGAUGAAGGACGUGCUAAUCUGCGAAAAGCGCCGGCGAGGUGAUAUGAACCUUUGACCCGGCGAUGUCCGAAUGGGGAAACCCAGUGCAAUCCGUUGCACUAUCGUUAACUGAAUACAUAGGUUAACGAGGCGAACCGGGGGAACUGAAACAUCUAAGUACCCCGAGGAAAAGAAAUCAACCGAGAUUCCCCCAGUAGCGGCGAGCGAACGGGGAGCAGCCCGGAGUCUGAAUCAGCUUGUGUGUUAGUGGAACGGUCUGGAAAGUCCGACGGUACAGGGUGAUAGUCCCGUACACGAAAGCACACAUGCUGUGAACUCGAAGAGUAGGGCGGGACACGUGGUAUCCUGUCUGAAUAUGGGGGGACCAUCCUCCAAGGCUAAAUACUCCUGACUGACCGAUAGUGAACCAGUACCGUGAGGGAAAGGCGAAAAGAACCCCGGCGAGGGGAGUGAAAAAGAACCUGAAACCGUGUACGUACAAGCAGUGGGAGCCUCUUUAUGGGGUGACUGCGUACCUUUUGUAUAAUGGGUCAGCGACUUAUAUUCUGUAGCAAGGUUAACCGUAUAGGGGAGCCGAAGGGAAACCGAGUCUUAACUGGGCGUUAAGUUGCAGGGUAUAGACCCGAAACCCGGUGAUCUAGCCAUGGGCAGGUUGAAGGUUGGGUAACACUAACUGGAGGACCGAACCGACUAAUGUUGAAAAAUUAGCGGAUGACCUGUGGCUGGGGGUGAAAGGCCAAUCAAACCGGGAGAUAGCUGGUUCUCCCCGAAAGCUAUUUAGGUAGCGCCUCGUGAACUCAUCUUCGGGGGUAGAGCACUGUUUCGGCUAGGGGGCCAUCCCGGCUUACCAACCCGAUGCAAACUACGAAUACCGAAGAAUGUUAUCACGGGAGACACACGGCGGGUGCUAACGUCCGUCGUGAAGAGGGAAACAACCCAGACCGCCAGCUAAGGUCCCAAAGUCAUGGUUAAGUGGGAAACGAUGUGGGAAGGCACAGACAGCCAGGAUGUUGGCUUAGAAGCAGCCAUCAUUUAAAGAAAGCGUAAUAGCUCACUGGUCGAGUCGGCCUGCGCGGAAGAUGUAACGGGGCUAAACCAUGCACCGAAGCUGCGGCAGCGACACUAUGUGUUGUUGGGUAGGGGAGCGUUCUGUAAGCCGUUGAAGGUGUCCUGUGAGGGGUGCUGGAGGUAUCAGAAGUGCGAAUGCUGACAUAAGUAACGAUAAAGCGGGUGAAAAGCCCGCUCGCCGGAAGACCAAGGGUUCCUGUCCAACGUUAAUCGGGGCAGGGUGAGUCGACCCCUAAGGCGAGGCCGAAAGGCGUAGUCGAUGGGAAACAGGUUAAUAUUCCUGUACUUGGUGUUACUGCGAAGGGGGGACGGAGAAGGCUAUGUCAGCCGGGCGACGGUUGUCCCGGUUUAAGCAUGUAGGCGGAGGUUCCAGGUAAAUCCGGUACCUUAUUAACGCUGAGGUGUGAUGACGAGGCACUACGGUGCUGAAGUGAUAAAUGCCCUGCUUCCAGGAAAAGCCUCUAAGCAUCAGGUAACACGAAAUCGUACCCCAAACCGACACAGGUGGUCAGGUAGAGAAUACCAAGGCGCUUGAGAGAACUCGGGUGAAGGAACUAGGCAAAAUGGUGCCGUAACUUCGGGAGAAGGCACGCUGAUGUGUAGGUGAAGUCCCUGCGGACGGAGCUGAAAUCAGUCGAAGAUACCAGCUGGCUGCAACUGUUUAUUAAAAACACAGCACUGUGCAAACACGAAAGUGGACGUAUACGGUGUGACGCCUGCCCGGUGCCGGAAGGUUAAUUGAUGGGGUUAGCGGCAACGCGAAGCUCUUGAUCGAAGCCCCGGUAAACGGCGGCCGUAACUAUAACGGUCCUAAGGUAGCGAAAUUCCUUGUCGGGUAAGUUCCGACCUGCACGAAUGGCGUAAUGAUGGCCAGGCUGUCUCCACCCGAGACUCAGUGAAAUUGAACUCGCUGUGAAGAUGCAGUGUACCCGCGGCAAGACGGAAAGACCCCGUGAACCUUUACUAUAGCUUGACACUGAACACUGGUCCUUGAUGUGUAGGAUAGGUGGGAGGCUUUGAAGCGUGGACGCCAGUCUGCGUGGAGCCAACCUUGAAAUACCACCCUUUAAUGGCUGGUGUUCUAACGUAGACCCGUAAUCCGGGUUGCGGACAGUGUCUGGUGGGUAGUUUGACUGGGGCGGUCUCCUCCCAAAGAGUAACGGAGGAGCACGAAGGUUGGCUAAUCCUGGUCGGACAUCAGGAGGUUAGUGCAAUGGCAUAAGCCAGCUUGACUGCGAGCGUGACGGCGCGAGCAGGUGCGAAAGCAGGUCAUAGUGAUCCGGUGGUUCUGAAUGGAAGGGCCAUCGCUCAACGGAUAAAAGGUACUCCGGGGAUAACAGGCUGAUACCGCCCAAGAGUUCAUAUCGACGGCGGUGUUUGGCACCUCGAUGUCGGCUCAUCACAUCCUGGGGCUGAAGUAGGUCCCAAGGGUAUGGCUGUUCGCCAUUUAAAGUGGUACGCGAGCUGGGUUUAGAACGUCGUGAGACAGUUCGGUCCCUAUCUGCCGUGGGCGCUGGAGAAUUGAGGGGGGCUGCUCCUAGUACGAGAGGACCGGAGUGGACGCAUCACUGGUGUUCGGGUUGUCAUGCCAAUGGCACUGCCCGGUAGCUAAAUGCGGAAAAGAUAAGUGCUGAAAGCAUCUAAGCACGAAACUUGCCCCGAGAUGAGUUCUCCCUGAGACCUUGAGUCUCCUGAAGGAACGUUGAAGACGACGACGUUGAUAGGUCGGGUGUGUAAGCGCAGCGAUGCGUUGAGCUAACCGAUACUAAUGAACCGUGAGGCUUAACCUUACAACGCCGAAGCUGUU